GACACAGUCUCAGCAGCAGCAGAAAGGAAUGAGAAACAGAUGACACUGGAGGAGACGAGGAAGAAAUCCCAGCAGCAAAUCCAGACGACAGAGAAGGAACUGCAGGAGCUGAAAAAGGCUGUGGUGUCUCAUAAGAACUGCGCUCAGGAGGCAGUGAAAUGCAGUGAGACAAUCUUCAGGGAGCUGCUCCAGUCCAUUGAAAGGUGCC